rnacentral:rRNA from 1 species
AUAAUGACUCUCGGCAACGGAUAUCUCGGCUCUCGCAUCGAUGAAGAACGUAGCGAAAUGCGAUACUUGGUGUGAAUUGCAGAAUCCCGUGAACCAUCGAGUUUUUGAACGCAAGUUGCGCCCAAAGCCAUUUGGUUGAGGGCACGUCUGCCUGGGCGUCACGU